rnacentral:rRNA from 1 species
UACAGAGGUCUCAAGCGUUGUUCGGAUUCAUUGGGCGUAAAGGGUGUGUAGGUGGCGCCGUAAGUCGGGUGUGAAAUUUCGGAGCUUAACUCCGAAACUGCAUUCGAUACUGCGGUGCUUGAGGACUGGAGAGGAGACUGGAAUUCAUGGUGUAGCAGUGAAAUGCGUAGAUAUCGUAAGGAAGACCAGUGGCGAAGGCGGGUCUCUGGACAGUUCCUGACGCUGAGGAGCGAAAGCGUGGGGAGCGAACAGG